rnacentral:rRNA from 1 species
AAUCAACGCUGGCGGCGUGCCUCAGACAUGCAAGUCGAACGCUGCUGUUCGCCUUCGGGUGGACAGCGGAGUGGCGCACGGGUGAGUAACACGUAGGUAAUCUACCUUUGGGUGGGGAAUAACAGCCGGAAACGGCUGCUAAUACCGCAUAAUGCAGCGGCAUCACAUGAUGACAGUUGUUAAAGCGGGGGAGUCGUAAGACCUCGCGCCUGAAGAGGAGCCUGCGGCAGAUUAGGUAGUUGGUGAGGUAAUGGCUCACCAAGCCUGCGAUCUGUAACCGGCCUGAGAGGGCGGUCGGUCACACUGACACUGACAUACGGGUCAGACUCCUACGGGAGGCAGC